rnacentral:rRNA from 1 species
GAUCAUGGCUCAGGAUGAACGCUAGCGACAGGCUUAACACAUGCAAGUCGAGGGGCAUCGGGGGUGUAGCAAUACACCUGCCGGCGACCGGCGCACGGGUGAGUAACACGUAUCCAACCUGCCAUGAACUCCGGGAUAGCCCUCUGAGAGGAGGAUUAAUACCGGAUGUGACCUGUGGGGGACAUCCCCCGCAGCUUAAAGAUUCAUCGGUUCAUGAUGGGGAUGCGUCUGAUUAGCUUGUGGCGGGUAACGGCCCACCAAGGCACCGAUCAGUAGGGGUUCUGAGAGGAAGGUCCCCCACAUAGGAACUGAGACACGGUCCUAACUCCUACGGGAGGCAGCAGUGAGGAAUAUUGGUCAAUGGGCGUAAGCCUGAACCAGCCAAGUAGCGUGAGGGACGAACCGGCCCUACGGGUUGUAAACCUCUUUUAUGCGGGAAUAACGGGAGUCACGCGUGACUCUGUGCAUGUACCGCAUGAAUAAGCAUCGGCUAAUUCCGUGCCAGCAGCUGC